UAUUGCCCAGGCUUGUCUUGAACGCCGGGGAUCAGGUCCUCCACCUUGCCCUCCAGAGUUCCGGAGACCCCAGGCUUGAGCUGCAGUACCCCAACCUGCUGACACCUUGAUGUUUGUCCAGUGAAAGUCACUUUGAACCUCUGACCUUCAGAACUGUGAGAAGAAAGGCAGGCACAGAAACUGAUCUCCCCCAGCCCACAGAACUUCUCCGACCCACCCUGUUCCACACAGGUGAGGAGAGCCCCGUUCAGAGGGCCUGCCUGCGCACAGAAGGAAGGGCUGCUGAGGAAGCCAGACGGCCUCGCCGGUCCGGUCCCCGCUCCCCACUCCGUCUGUGUGCGUCCUGUGCCGUCUCAGACCCAGCGGACAGCGCUGGAGACAGCAGGGCAGCCACAGGCCUGGACUGUUGGCAACCGUAAUAACGAAAAUCCUGAAGCAUGAGAUGAAAAGCCCGCCCAGAGGUUGUAAAUGGAAGCUGGAUGCACUUCACUGGCUCUGCUGGGCAGUAACUUGUUGUCAACAAACUUAGGGAAGCACUUUCUGCAAUUAGGGAAGCACUUUCUGCAAUUAAUACCUUAACUGUCAUUAACGGCUCUGUUUUCUCCAGGCCAGUCAAAGACCGGCCUUGGGCCUGGAUAAACUGGUUCUGAGAAAUGAAAAGCACCGAGCUCAGGGCGGAAUCCUUUUCACUGCUCAAGGUGAAUUAAAACCUUGAACUCAGAAGCCACAGUGAGAGACUUCAUCUAAUGUGUCAGAAGUGACUGGAGCCUUGCAGCCUCUCAUACCAAGUAAAUGAGCAGAACUUGUUCCAGGGCUCGGGCCGCAGGCCCUCAGAAGUACCUGGCAUUUGCUGGCUCUCAGCCCUUUCUGGGGUCUCUGACCCACUGUCCUCAUCUCAGCAGCCCUGGGAGGCCGGAUCAGGAGGGAGGGCUCCUGUUCAACCCCAGGACUGGGGCUCACAGACAGCUGCUCCCUUCCUGCCCAGCCGGACUAAGCCUGAGCCACAGGCUCUUCAGCAGAGCGGCAUCUCCCGGCAUCACCCAGCACCCGGGCCCCAGCGGGCAGAAGCACCCCGGGCUCGCCUUGCUGCGUGGAGGCGGGAUCAAUGAGGCCACCGUGGGCCAGCACUUUACCUUCUUCUGCAUCUAGGACAGCUCUGGAGGAAGGGAGGCUCCUCCUGCAGGUGUCAGUGGCCCACUACGUGCAGAGCGGGGGACCCCCACUGCGCAGCCAGCAUCUCCCAGGACACCGUGUACUUAGCCCAGAUUAGGGGGACCCACUCCUGUUGUUUCACCUCUGGGGUGUGCUAGGGGCCACUCAGUGCAGGGACGAGGGGACAAGGACAGUGCCGAGCUCCAGACAGCACGACGGCUGCCUUCCCCACACCAAUGGCAGGCAGGUCUUCCAACCUCACAG